AUUGAACGCUGGCGGCAUGCUUUACACAUGCAAGUCGAACGGCAGCGGGUCCUUCGGGAUGCCGGCGAGUGGCGAACGGGUGAGUAAUGCAUCGGAACGUACCGUGUAAUGGGGGAUAACGUAGCGAAAGUUACGCUAAUACCGCAUACGCCCUGAGGGGGAAAGCGGGGGAUCGCAAGACCUCGCGUUAUACGAGCGGCCGAUGUCGGAUUAGCUAGUUGGUGGGGUAAAGGCCCACCAAGGCGACGAUCCGUAGCGGGUCUGAGAGGAUGAUCCGCCACACUGGGACUGAGACACGGCCCAGACUCCUACGGGAGGCAGCAGUGGGGAAUUUUGGACAAUGGGCGCAAGCCUGAUCCAGCCAUGCCGCGUGCGGGACGAAGGCCUCGG
rnacentral:rRNA from 1 species